rnacentral:lncRNA from 1 species
UAGUCUAUGCCUUGAUAGAUUUUGCCCCCUUUGAUUUAAUUCCAUCUUCUUAAGAUCCCCUAAGCAAAAUUAUAAAUAACGAUACCUGGAAUACUUAUCCUGGUGAAAUGCUACAAUGAGGUGUUUUAUCUGUGCGCUUGCGGAUAGAAUAGAUUAUUUUCUAGAGAGCCUUUACAUUUAUAAAUACCUUUGUACACUCUGGCGCCAUGCUAGCGAUGACAACCUAGUAUUUAAGUGGUGUUAGCUAGUGUCAACAACAUAUUUAUUGUACAAAGACUUCUUCCAAUUCUGGAAGAGUACUGCCAUCUUCUUCAUAGUCCAGUCAUAAAUUCGCACCUUCAACUCUUCAUCGUUGGUGUCGAAGGUGAAAACGUCUGUGACGGCUUUCUAAACUAACUCCUUGUCACGAUCAGAGACAAAACUGAUCUCAGGAGCACCUCGCUUCUCUCUCCAUUCACGAGCACUAAUCGGUAUUUGAUCUCUCACAAGAUAUCCACAGUGACUAACAUAUUUAUUUGCAUGCUCACCAAGUGGUCUGCCUGUAGCUAUCUCAAACUCAAAGAUUACAUAGCGGCCCUCCAACGGCUUCUUUGGCCCUCGUGGAGGUACGCUUCUCCCCGUAGAGGUCGAUCCAGAAGGCUACACAUAGAUAUAGAAACAAAAAUACUAAAUUAAUAACCAAGUAAGUCUAAAACCUAAUGUAAGAGAUGCAUUAAUUAUAUAUAUUUAUAUUUACAUACCUCGCCAGUAGGAUGGCCCUCUUGUUGCUCAGUAGGAUGGCCCUUUUGUUGCUCAGUAGGAUUGCCUUGCAUGAUAUCGUGGUAAGCAAUAAAAUACUGACUACCGUCGUCGAUUAUAUUUUGAAUGGCA